AGAGUUUGAUCCUGGCUCAGAAUGAACGCUGGCGGCGUGCUUUACACAUGCAAGUUGAGCGAGGCGGGGAGCAAUCCCCAGUCGAGCGGCGAACGGGUGAGUAACGCGUGGAUAACCUGCCCUGAGGUGGGGAACAACCAGGGGAAACUCUGGCUAAUACCGCAUAACACCGAGAGGUCAAAGGGGGCUCGCAAGAGCUCCUGCCACAGGAGGGGUCCGCGUUCGAUUAGCUAGUUGGUAGGGUAAUGGCCUACCAAGGCGACGAUCGAUAGCCGGCCUGAGAGGGCGAUCGGCCACACUGGAACUGAGACACGGUCCAGACUCCUACGGGAGGCAGCAGUGGGGAAUGUAUGCGCAAUGGGCUAACGCCUGACGCAGCAACGCCGCGUGGAGGAUGAAGGUCCUUGGAUCGUAAACUCCUGUCAGCAGGGAAAAAGGGAAGCGACCUAAUACGUCGCUGACUUGAUUGUACCUGCAGAUGAAGCCCCGGCUAACUCUGUGCCAGCAGCCGCGGUAAUACAGAGGGGGCGAGCGUUAUUCGGAAUUAUUGGGCGUAAAUGGCGCGUAGGAGGCCUGACAAGUGACGGGUGACAGCCCUCUGCUUAACCGAUGGAACUGCCUGUCAUACUGUCGUGGCUUUGAGACCCGGGAGAGGUGAGUUGGACCUUCCCUGUGUACCCGGUGAAAUGCGUCAAUUUGGGAUGGAACAACAGGUGGCGAAGGCGGCCACUGUACCGUACUGACCCUUAUGCCUAAAACCUGGGAUCAACUGGAUGNAUCUCCUGGUAAUACGGUCAA
rnacentral:rRNA from 1 species